UGGCUCAGGACGAACGCUGGCGGCGUGCUUUACACAUGCAAGUCGAACGAUGAUGCCCAGCUUGCUGGGUGGAUUAGUGGCGAACGGGUGAGUAACACGUGAGUAACCUGCCCCUGACUUCGGGAUAAGCGCUGGAAACGGCGUCUAAUACCGGAUAUGAGCUGUCCUCGCAUGGGGAUGGUUGGAAAGUUUUUCGGUUGGGGAUGGGCUCGCGGCCUAUCAGCUUGUUGGUGGGGUGAUGGCCUACCAAGGCGACGACGGGUAGCCGGCCUGAGAGGGCGACCGGCCACACUGGGACUGAGACACGGCCCAGACUCCUACGGGAGGCAGCAGUGGGGAAUAUUGCACAAUGGGCGAAAGCCUGAUGCAGCGACGCCGCGUGAGGGAUGACGGCCUUCGGGUUGUAAACCUCUUUCAGUAGGGAAGAAGCGAAAGUGACGGUACCUGCAGAAGAAGCGCCGGCUAACUACGUGCCAGCAGCCGCGGUAAUACGUAGGGCGCAAGCGUUGUCCGGAAUUAUUGGGCGUAAAGAGCUCGUAGGCGGUUUGUCGCGUCUGGUGUGAAAACUCGAGGCUCAACCUCGAGCUUGCAUCGGGUACGGGCAGACUAGAGUGUGGUAGGGGUGACUGGAAUUCCUGGUGUAGCGGUGGAAUGCGCAGAUAUCAGGAGGAACACCGAUGGCGAAGGCAGGUCACUGGGCCACUACUGACGCUGAGGAGCGAAAGCAUGGGGAGCGAACAGGAUUAGAUACCCUGGUAGUCCAUGCCGUAAACGUUGGGCACUAGGUGUGGGGCUCAUUCCACGAGUUCCGUGCCGCAGCUAACGCAUUAAGGCCC
rnacentral:rRNA from 5 species